UACGAAAUGGUGUAAUACCGCCACCGCUGGUCGGGAGGGAUCAUUGCACCAAUAUUUUGAUUCAAAUUAAUACUGUAUUUCAGGUAUCACAAGCACAUCGGUUAGGUUAAUCUCUCCGAUAUAUAUUCAUGAUAUAUAUAAAUACAGUAUAUUUAUUUAUAAUUACGUUUAAAUUCCAUCCAUCCAUGCAUCCAUUUUCUGAGCCGCUUCUCCUCACUAGGGUCGCGGGCGUGCUGGAGCCUAUCCCAGCUGUCAUCGGGCAGGAGGCGGGGUACACCCUCAACUGGUUGCCAGCCAAUCGCAGGGCACAGAGAAACAAACAACCAUUCGCCCUCACAGUCAUGCCUACGGGCAAUUUUAGAGUCUCCAAUGAAUGCAUGUUUUUGGGAUGUGGGAGGAAACCGGAGAAAACCCACGCAGGCACGGGGAGAACAUGCAAACUCCACACAGGCGGGGCCGGGGAUUGAACCCGGAUCCUCAGAACUGUGAGGCUGACGCUCUAACCAGUCUUCCACCGUGCCGCCUACGUUUAAAUUGAUAAACCAAUUUAAAAGAUAAUAAGGUCAACAGGCAGGCGCUCAGUGAAAAUGUCAUUUAUCCAGUCCAGCAACCCCGCCCAAAGAAGAUUGCUUUUGUUUUGUAAUUGGUGAUGAUAGAUAGACAAAAACGCAGCUUCACCUCAUACUACACAAACAAUUAUAUUUUCAGGUUUUUAUUGGACACAUGAUUUGACAGUAAUUUUAAUUUGUUUGUUUAUAUAUGUGUGUGUGUGUUUUGUUAAACCUGAUUUCCUUUUAAGACACAAGAGGAAUGUAGGCAACUUCACCUGCGCUGUCAAGUAUCCAGGUAUUUAUUGUACAGUCACACUGGUCGAAUUUUUGCCUAAAAAGUUACUGAAUCGAUUUCAAGCCACGAGAUCGUUUCGGGUAUAAUAGAAUAGAAUAGAAUCACCUUUUUUUUUGUCAUGAACGUGCAACACACGAAAUGUGUUCUCUGCAUUUAACCCAUCACAGUGAACACAUACACAUUCUUGAUAUGUACCUUAUGUGUCUGUCUAUGUAUCCUCUUCAUCUCAUCCGGAGACCCUGUUUAAUAAUUCACUUUUUCUCUUCCCUGCCAUUUAAUUGCGUCCUGUAUUGUUGGUUGCUUGACAAAGUGCCUGCAGAUAAUUGGGCUUAUUGGCGAUAUAAAAUAUAAAUAGUGAAUCAUUCUAGGCGUCAAUCCCUGGAUGAUCCAGUGAUAUCACAGUAGAUGUGAGUGAACAUAAGUACCAGUACAUGUCUGAUGUGUGCCUAUAAGAUCAACAUAAAUGAUUGUCGAACAAACACCAAAACGACAUGUGCUGGGAAGUUGAGUUGCAUCACAUCCACGGUAUGGCAACUCCCUUGGCUAGAAUUGGAAAUUAGUUUUAGUUUGAGAUAAAGCAGAUCGACUUUUCGGAAAGAGAGGGAGUUGGAGAGGAGCAGGGACAAAAUAUAAACUUUUAUGAGGCUAUCUUUCGAGAGAAGACAGUCGCUUCAAUAGAAGAGAUGAAUAGAGGUGUCCUGCAGAUAACUGCAAUCCAUCCCUUGGUUUAAUGAUUCAUGAAACAGUGGUUGAAAUUUCUUGAGAGGAAGAGAAUCUAUAGGACGUAUGUGAUAGAAUACAAAGAACUAUCUAGUCAUAAGGAACAGAAAGAGCGCGUAGGAAGAUAUGGUAAUUAUUUCCAUUUGAUCGAUUUAUGAAGGAUUUGAUGGUGCUCCUGGGGUUUAUCAAAGAGUUGAUGUUUUUUUGUUGUUGUUGUUGUUGUUGUUUUUUUUAACCCAGCCCUUAUUUUUACUUCUCAAUAACUUUAUCCCUGACUUGUUUGGAGAGUUCUUUGGUCUCCAUGGCUGUGUUUGGUGAGCGAUGCCUCUUGCUUUGGUGUUGCAGCCUUUGGGGACUUUCAGGAAAGGUUUAUAUAUACGCCGAAAGAUCAUCUAAUAUCUUGAGUUGUUCUGUUUUUUUAUUGGUUGUUUGAAUGCGUAGCGAUGAGGGAAAUAUCAGAGAUUUGACAUGAAAUGUGAAGUGGAGAAACCAAACGCAAAACAUUCAGUCAUGAAUUCGCAGGUUUGUUAUCACAGACAUUCACGAGCAAAGAUCGCGUCAUCUUUUGACGUUUCUAUUUUCAGCCCGUGUUAUAUCUUUGGCUGAUAAAAAUCCCUGCGAGAUCAUUUCCAGAGUAAACCAUCUGUCUGGGAAGAUGUUCUGUAAUGGAGCAUAUGACAGCUGUUUGUAGUGAGGGUUGACAUGAAAAAAAAGAGACGCUAACACGGAGCUGAUCGACAUUCAUUUGUGGUUCAAAUGAGCCUUGGAAAACAUUGACACGGGAUGAAAGAAAGCGAUUCAUCCAAACAGCCACCACGCACUGCAGUGCUGUUAAAGAAAUUCCCUGUUUGGAAGCUGUUGUUUGCUUAAAGUGAACAAAUGCAUAAUGAGUAAAAACGAAAGACUACAGGGAAUGAAAUGUUCAUUAUUGCACUUGCAGCAGAUAUUUGUCCAACGCAUGUACUGUAACAAAAUGCAUCAGCCUCGCGCAACCGUGAAAUAUUGCCGGAACAAAGCCAUCAUGGAUGCUUUUCAUUGUUUACCGUGCCAGGACGAAGAACAAUGACUGCUCUGAAAACAUAUUUGAAACGGAGUUAUUAGGGAUGGAUACUGAAAGAAAUCCCAAUGGACUUAGCUGGCUUCAGAGACGCAGAGGCGCAAUAUUUUCGGAUUUCAGGGAAAGACAUGAUUGGGGAUUUCAGAAGCUGUGCGAGUACGAUACAUAUAAAUGUGCAAAGAAAUAUUAUGCACGGGAGAAGCAGCUGGAUAACUAUUGCUUCUUCAGAAGGGCUACAUGUAUAAAAAGCAGUGGUGACACUCCAUGGGGGUCAGGGGGCGCAGCCGGCCGGAUCCAGCUGAUAAUGUUGUUUUUCCUUUCUUGCUAAUAUAUUCAUAUAUAUCUUUCUUAAUUUACUACAGUCACAAUUCAUUUGACAAACGACUAAGUGUUGUUUAAGUUAUCACCUCAUAAGCCAAGCCAAGUUUGCCAUUUGUACAGUCUAUUGAGUCUGACUAGUAUAGUGUUGCUUUUCCAUGUACAACUUGUAAAACGUCAAAGGGUUGUUAAUAACUGUAUUUUGUCAUCGUAAUCAAAAUAUAAUAAUGUGCUUUACUAUUUUUUUCUUGCACUUUACACAAGGGGUGGACGCAAUCAACACAAAGGAGGUGAAGGGAUAUAAAAAGUCUACACACCCCUGUUUUUGUGAAAUGAGACCAAAAGUCAAUGAGUUUAAAACUUUCCCCACCAUUAACGCGUGACAUAUAACCUUUACAACUCAGUUGAAAAUCAAAUAUUUGUGAGAGGAAGUAAAAAUAAACAAUGAGGCAAUGUGGUUGCAGAAGUGUGCACACCCUCUUAGAACUGGGGAUGUGGCUGUUAGGAAUUAAGUAACCUCGUUCAAACUUAUGUUAAAUGCAAGUCAUCGCACACUUGCCACCAUUUAACGCGCCUCUGAUUAACCCCAAAUAAAUUCCAGUUGUUCUAGUAGGCUUUUCCAGACGCUUUUUGCAGUUACACCUUACAACACAAGCAAUGGUCUGCGUAGAUCUUCUGCAGGAUCAGAAGGGCCUCCAAGAAAUUAGUUAGAGGCCAGCUAUGCGACGGCUAUAUGUGUAUGUUUAACGUUAAAAAAAAAAAAAAAAAAAAAAGUAGCAGCAAUAUGGAAUAAGUAUUGAUGUUAUUGUUAUUAAGUUGAGCGCAGUAAUAUAAAGAAAUGUGGAAAAAGCGAAACGGUAAUUGUAAAAAAGUCCCGGAUGCACUGUUGUAGUACUACUGGUUUUGACUUUAGCCCUAUAGGAUCUUGAGGUACAGAUUUAGACUCAUGAUGAUGUCUCCGUCUAUUGCUGACAGUUUGAGUAAUAGGCUCUGACUGAAAAUAGAUUUUGACAGAUCCUCUUCAGGAGGGAUGAGGGAAGAGAGAGAGAGAGAGAGAGAGAGAAAACUUCCCAGUAAAACAAGGAUGUAAAUGAGGGGACAAUUAAAAGAAGGUCGCUCCCACUUUAGCCACCCCUCCCCUGCAGCUCACGUUGCGUGGAUGACGUCAAAGACGCCUUUACAAAAAAGAUGCCGGACCUCGCCGAGAAGCGCAAAACCGCCAGCGCGUGGAUUACAUUGCAGCACGGGGGAAAUGGCAGCAAGACGGGAUCGUGGCGUGAAGCGGCAAAUAAGAGCGCUCCGUUGACAGAGACUGGGGGGACUGUGAGGAAUUGCAAAGCGAUGUGAAGUCACCCAAAGUGCGGCCGAGCUCUCAUGCAUGGACGCCAGGAUGUUCUCGGGCCAGGCGGCUCUCAACUUCAGCUGCCGCAACCUGAGCGACGACCCGCGCGCCGACGCCGAGGCGCGCCUGUCGUCCGCGGGCUUCGCGGUGCUCUCCGUGGUGCUGGGCUUCAUCAUGACUUUCGGCUUCCUCAACAACCUGGUGGUGCUGCUGCUCUUCUGCAGGUUCAAGAAGCUGCGCACGCCCGUCAACAUGCUGCUGCUCAACAUCAGCGUGAGCGACAUGCUGGUGUGCGUGUUCGGCACCACGCUCAGCUUCGCCGCCAGCAUCCGCGGACGCUGGCUGCUCGGACCGGGCGGCUGCAGCUGGUACGGCUUCAUCAACUCCUGCUUCGGUAUCGUGUCGCUGAUUUCUCUGGUGAUCCUCUCUUACGACCGCUACAGCACUCUUACCGUGUACAACAAGCGUGGUCCCGACUACCGCAAGCCCCUGUUGGCCGUCGGGGGCUCAUGGCUCUACUCUUUGUUCUGGACGGUGCCGCCGCUCUUGGGUUGGAGCAGCUACGGCGUGGAAGGAGCCGGAACCAGCUGCUCGGUGUCCUGGACGGUCCGGACGACCCAGUCGCACGCCUACAUCAUCUGCCUCUUCAUCUUCUGCCUGGGGCUGCCUGUGCUGGUCAUGAUCUACUGCUAUGGCAGGCUGCUCUGGGCUGUCAAACAGGUGGGCAAGAUCCGCAAGACGGCAGCUCGAAGGCGCGAGUACCACAUCCUGUUCAUGGUCCUGACCACGGCCGCGUGCUACCUGCUGUGCUGGAUGCCGUACGGCGUGGUGGCCAUGAUGGCGACGUUCGGGCCGCCCGACAACAUCAGUCCCGUGGCCAGCGUGGUGCCGUCUCUGCUGGCCAAGAGCAGCACCGUCAUCAACCCGCUCAUCUACAUCCUCAUGAACAAGCAGUUCUACAGAUGUUUCCUGAUCCUGUUCCACUGCAACCACUGGUCGGGGAAGAACGGCAACACAUCAAUGCCCUCCAAGACCACCAUCCAGCUCAACCGACGGAUCUCCAGCAACACGGUGGCCUGCGCCGCCCACGUCUCCGACGACGCGCCCAAAGCGAGCGGCACGCCCGCCGUCAAGCAGACGCGACACGAAGUGGCAACGCUUGAGCUGUGAAGCUGCGCUUGCAAAGUGGACAGCAGAGGAAUUGGGAGGGUUCAUGUAUUUGACGUGAUCUUUGUAUUUGUGAUACAGAGUAGAUUCCAUUUGACUUCAGCAGCAUUUUGUCAUUUGUGUUUAUAAAGUGAUAAAUGCGACGACGACAACAACAAAAUAAGCAUUCACAAUAUCAUCUCCUGUACAGUAUGUGGACACUACAGAGGCUUUAUGCCCAAAGAAACUCUUGCCCUUGGUUUGGGGCGGUUGGGGAUUCACUUCAAAAUAGCAUAGUGCCAAACUGCCAAACCCACGUCAACCCCUAACAUACAACAACAACAAUCUCCUGCGUUAAAACCUCUCAGCAAUUUAUUCAAGAAGAGAAGCGAGGGUCAUGCCGGCAAACGGAGAAUGUGAGGAUCAUACUGAAGCGUCCGGAGCUAAGGCACAGGCUAGCAUUAGCAUGCGUGUUUUACAAUGGCGAAUGUGCUCGACCAAUGAGAGACCAAAAGCGUGCUCAUUUCUCAUGAAUGAUCUUGGUUGAAACUCUGCUACUAAUCAACACCUGUUUAAAUGUCACGUGCAAAAACAUUAGGCUUGUUAAAAGCAGCAAAACACGUGCACAUAAAUCCCCUUGUGUUCUUUAUUAGCAGCCAAUUGUCUAGCUACAAACUGAAAGGCCCAAAAAAAAAAAAAAAAAAAAGUGGGCCACAUGGUAGGUAGGUAGUUAGGGGUGCAGUUAUGCAACUAUAACAAAAAUCACGGUUCGAUACGUAACUUGGUUUGAAGUUUACGUUUUUGCUCAAAUUGGGGAUAGUAAGGGACAAACGACUACUCAUUUCGUGUGAACCCUUAACAGAUUUAGGGACAUUUAAAAUAAAAUAUCGACAGCUUGAAUCUUGUGUUUUCAGGAAAGUGCAACAUCAAUAGUUUUAGUCUUGUUUUUAGGGAAAUGAUGUAGACGAGAACAGUAUGAUCAGUACGAAUUAGUAUUUCGCUCGCUCGCUCGCUUGCUUUGCAUCGCUCGAGGCAGUUACAUUUCUUCCCCUUUACCUUAAGUUCUAUGUGGGAACCCCAAUAAUCACAUCAUUCCCUCUGCAUUUAAUUCCUAUUUUUAUGGCUAAUACAUUCUUGGGCCACAAAAUGAUGUGGCGGGCCAAAUCCGGCCCGCAGGCCUUCUUGUUGUCUUCAAUUAACCCAACGUGCAUGUGUUAGUAAUUUGGUAGGGGAAAAAAAUAAAAAUACACAAGAGGUUCUCAUCCAAGAUUCAGACCCGGGAGCCCUCGACUGCGAGGCAGAUAUGCUACCCGCUACCACCCCGCGUUGCCCGCAAUUUCCUUCAACGACCUUACAGCAAGUAGUAGAAAUAAUAGAGCAACAGCAGCAUGGUUUCGGUGGCGGCUUCCUUCCACAUUCCAAAAACAAAACGCAUGUUAGCUCAGCCAGCGAUGGAAAAUGGAUGCAGGAUUUUCCGUGCACAUGCUGAUGAUCUAUUCUGCCCCCAACUGCUGCAGAGUCUCUCUCUCUCUGGUGUUUAUUGUGGCUUAAAAAAAAACAACUUUUGCAGCCACCUUUUCCCCAGUUGGAACUGCUGUGUUCACAGGUCAAUGUCUUUUUGUUUCUUUCUGGAGAAACUUCUCCCAUCGGGGGUUAAAAUACAAAACACAUCAAACGUGCUUGUUCUCUCGAGUUGGCGGGAAUGAAAAUGCAUGAUUUAGAUUUUAAUGCAAAUGUUUAGAUGUGUUGAGAGUAGAUUUAGUUUUGUUGCAUGUUCAGUCAUGUUUUUCUGUGUCCCUUGUUCAUGUCUUGUCAAUUCGUAAAGUUUUCAUUUCCAACCGUUCCCAUCAGCCUUGUUCCUUGAGUCUACCAAUCAGCUCCCUCCAGUCCAGACUCGUGUCUUGUCCAGGUGUGCAUCGUCGUCUUGUCACCUCAACAACUUUAUCUGAAGAGCAACUUUAACCACAACCACAACCACAGCUGCACACAACAGUGGUGUACGCUACAUGAAAAAUCAAACAUAACAGCAGUUAAACAUAGGACCAAUAGAUGAACCAGAGUCAAUUUGUUUGUAUUUGGACGCCCGCUUUCUUGCAGUCUUGUCAGUUUAAUUUAUCCCAAGUUUCCCUGUAGUUAUUAGUGGCGAGUGUUUUGUUACUUAAAUUCUCGGUUUUGCAGGACUUUCGAUUCUUUCACGUGCCCCGGUUGCCUUUUUCUUUUUGAUAAUAAAUUCUUUUUUGGGCGGGGGGGAUUCAUCGUACACUCCUGCCUUGCCUCCAUGCUUCCCUGUGCUUGGACCCUCCACUUUUGCCUCCAACGCUAUUAAAACACAAAUACCUGACAGCAUCUAUGGGCAAAGAUUUAUGCGCCCGCUGGGCGGAAACAAAUCACCAAUCAGACAGCACAUGAACAAAACAACAUUGUUCAGCAUUUACUAUAUAAUCUAUAUCCUGCUCAUCUAAAAGAGGUUAUACAGCUUCUGAUACUAUAUUUUGAAAUAUUUUGAUUGAUAUUAUUUCAUUUGUAUUAAAUUUGUUCACGUCUUAUUCAAGGCAAUGUGGUGAAGGGUGAGGCGCCACUCUAGCGCCCUCUAUGGAUCAGGUGCCACUGGUAGAGUAUUUCCUAUACAUUUAAUACUUGCGAUACUUUAUUUUUGAAAGCCCGUUUACACAAGUUUUCAUGUGUUUUAAUAAGUGAAAAUGUGUUUAAAAGUAUGUGGGAGGGGCGAAAUGGCGACUUGUUAGCUGCAUUAGUGAGUGUGCUAAGCAGCUAACGGAGCUGUUAGCUGGCUACUGGCAGGCUACCAACGUUAGGGACCCAAGACGACUUGAGGAAAUGUUGACUAAAGCUGCUGUUCGGGUCCUGUCGUGUGUGCAGACUAGUUCUGGUCUUGUUGGGAGGACACGCCUGGCUCGACUAAAACCUGCUGUCGUUAUCUAGCUACGAGCCGGAGCCAAGCGGCCUCGUCUCGUUAGCUGUUUUGCUAGCAGGCGACUGUGAAUCACCGGCUGGCGGUGCAACGUCCAGCGGUAAUGUGAUUCGUAUUCAAUGUGGAUCUGCCAUAGCCACGUGUUGACCAUCGUGACUCUGACACAAGUUCGGAAGGAGCUCUAGACUGGAAAUCUGACCCUAGAACUACCUUCAGGCCGUGAAAGGAGUAGCAACUCAAACGGAGGAACAGGUAAACGCUUUGCUCCAAAACAAAAACACUGACAUCAUCAUGGGAAGCAAUGAACCUUGUCAUACACCGCCAUUUAGCAUUUUAGGAUGUCUUCUUCCACUCUUGACAUUCUUUCCAUGAACAUCUGUUUUGCAAAUGGGAAGCAUAAAGUUGAUCUACUUUGAGCUGCAGCGGAGGAAGCUCAAGCUUGCGUUCAUUUCAGUACACAAACCUGCCCAUUGUGCUGAUGUUUCAACAAGUUAAUCAACUUCUAUUUUGUUUUCUUCCAGCCGGUGUGUCAGCCACUAACACUUGUUCUCCCACGUAAACUAUUAAGAGCUUUCAUCUAUUCAUUUUAAUCCCUGCAGACGUGUGAAAAGAUCAGCGUGGACGUUGAUGAAUGAAAGUCGUGACAGAAUGCGGUCCAUCCGUUAAAUCAAAUGCGAAUCGCGUUAAACUGAGAGACAACAAAGAGGGACUCGCUGCUGCACGCAUCUUAAAGAGGUCACCGUCGAUGGCUUAGUUCCCGGAGAAUCACAGUAAUCACACAAACAAGCCGAUUUUUGAGCAGAUGGAAGACAAAGAAAUGCCUCCUUUUUCCAUCCAUCCAUCCAUCCAUCCAUCCAUCCAUCUUCUGAGCCGCCUAUCCUCACGCGGGUCGCGGGAGUGCCGGAGCCUAUCCCAGGAGGCGGGGUAUUUGUUUGUGAAUCCAUUAUUUAUGUUUGAAGAUAAUUGCUGAAAGCGUGCAAAGACUGAGAGCAACGUCAUUCUGAAUUGUGGAGUGAUAAGUGUUGAAGUGUUUUUCACCAUUUUAGUUAUCCUGAUUUUAAACGGCGCCCAAUGACGCACUUCGGCAUCUGGCAUGAAUCGCCCCUCCCCCAAUUGUUCUCUCCAUUUUUAGAUCUUACUUCUAAAGUGAGGCCUCAAUUAAUAAGACGAAAAAUAUUGAUUUCAUUUGUAGCGUGAGUGACAAUGUGCGCCUGUUAGUAUUCACCAAAUGAAAUUGCAACGUUUUGUUUCAGUCUACUCUGUUUCUGUGCUCUCGUGUAUUGAACAUCACUGACAAAUUGCCGCAAUGUAAAAUGCCGUGAGCGACUCUGUGGGCGUUUUCACUGUCGAGGAGUGAAAAUUGGACUGCUUAGUGCGACAGCCGCAGACAUAACGUCACCUACUGUGAGAGACAACUGCGAGAGUUUGACAUUCUGGGCUCUUUAAAGGAAACAAAUAUAUAGAUAUGAAAAAUGUGGCGAGGAGGAGCGAGCAGAACGCUCAUGUUGACUGCGAUGAUAGUAGACUGCCUACCGAGCGAACAGGUCUGCGGAUGAUGCAGUCAACAUUGGACUGCACGUCAUCCUAGAACACUCCACGCUUCUCCAGCUCAGCGUCUCGCCUGCCAUCUGCCAGCGGAUUUUCAGCUUCCCGACGGGCAGGACACAGCAAGUGAGGCUGGGGGACGCCACCUCAUCCACACGCAGCAUCAGCACUGGGGCACCCCAAGGUUGUGUCCUCUCCCCGCUGCUCUUCUCUCUCUACACGAACGACUGCACCUCGACGCACCCGGCUGUCAAACUCCCGAGUUUGCAGAUAAUACCACUGUCAUCGGCCUCAUCAAGGACGGUGACGAGUCUGCAUAUCGGCAGGAAGCGGGAGCGGCCGGAGCUUCCUUCAAGUUCCUGGGAAUUACAGUCUCUCGGGACCUGAAGUGGGCGAGCAACAUCAACUCCGUCCUCAAAAAGGCCCAGCGGAGGAUGUACUUCCUGCGGCUUCUGAGGACGCACGGCCUGCCACGGGAGCUGCUGAGGCAGUUCUACACAGCGGUCAUCGAAUCGGUCCCGUGUUCUUCCAUCACAGUCUGGUUCGGUGCUGCUACAAAAAAGGACAAACUCCGACUGCGACGGACAAUCAAAACUGCUGAAAGGAUUGUCGGUACCCCCCUACCCACCCUUGAGGACUUGCACGAUGCUAGAACUAAGACAAGAGCGUGCAAAAUCCUCUCCAACGCUCCGCAUCCCGGUCACCGGCUCUUCCGGCGCCUUCCCUCAGGUAGGCGCUACCGAUCAAUGCAAACUCGAACUAGCGGACAUUCCAACAGCUUCUUCCCUCUUGCGAUCAACUUCUUAAACAGCUAACCUACAUUUCCAUUACAACAUGCUGGCAAUUUUUGGUCUUUUUGUCUUGAGUUCGCCGUCACGUUUCUGUCGGACCAAUUAUGCAUUACUCGCGCACUCGCUGCGCUAGUCUCGCCACGCUGCAACUAUUUGCAUAUCUGUUGUCGACCAAUACUGGCCACUCAUGCCAGAGUAGCAUCUGCCCCACUUGCACACUGACUGAGGAGUAUCUGCAACAUUUGCACAAUCGACAUUGUCCCAGAUUACCGCGCUACUCGUCACUUUAAACUGCAUACACUCCUUCCCAAGUCUCGGCGCCCUUUUCACAAUGCUCAUUGCACCGGACUAUUGCGAGAUUAGUCAUUCGAACUGCUCUAAGUGCUAGAGGACUCUGCAUCUUUUUGCACAAUUGUCCAAAAUAAAUACAUAAAUAAAUUGAUAACUAGCAACCCUUUAUUGCUCAGUGACUGUUUUUCCUUAACGUCUUUAUGUUUCCAAAGUGUUCUCUGUCAAUUGGCUGACUGUUGUCGUACUAGAGCGGCUCCAACUACCGGAGACAAAAUCCUUGUGGGGUUUUUUUGUGGACAUACUUGGCAAAUAAAGAUUCUGCUUCUGA